CCUACGGGAGGCAGCAGUGGGGAAUCUUCCGCAAUGGGCGCAAGCCUGACGGAGCAACGCCGCGUGAAUGAAGAAGGUCUUCGGAUCGUAAAGUUCUGUUCUUAGGGAAGAAGUCUUAGGUUGUGAAUAAUGACUUAAGGUGACGGUACCUAUGGAGAAAGCUCCGGCUAACUACGUGCCAGUAGCCGCGGUAAUACGUAGGGAGCGAGCGUUGUCCGGAAUUACUGGGCGUAAAGGGCGCGUAGGCGGGAACUUAAGUUAGAUGUGAAAACUCCGGGCUUAACCUGGAGACUGCAUUUAAAACUGGGUUUCUUGAGGGCAGGAGAGGAAAGUGGAAUUCCUAGUGUAGCGGUGAAAUGCGUAGAUAUUAGCAGGAACACCAGUGGCGAAGGCAUCUCACGAAUCCGCGAUUGACGCUGAUGCACGAAAGCGUGGGUAUCAAACAGGAUUAGAUACCCGAGUAGUC
rnacentral:rRNA from 1 species